rnacentral:rRNA from 1 species
UACGUAGGGCGCAAGCGUUGUCCGGAAUUAUUGGGCGUAAAGAGCUCGUAGGCGGUUUGUCGCGUCUGUCGUGAAAGCUUGGGGCUUAACCCCAAGUCUGCGGUGGAUACGGGCAGACUAGAGGCAGGUAGGGGAGAACGGAAUUCCCGGUGUAGCGGUGAAAUGCGCAGAUAUCGGGAGGAACACCGGUGGCGAAGGCGGUUCUCUGGGCCUGUACUGACACUGAGAAGCGAAAGCAUGGGGAGCGAACAGG